GAUCAUGGCUCAGGAUGAACGCUAGCGAUAGGCCUAACACAUGCAAGUCGAGGGGCAGCACAUGAGUAGCAAUACGAUGGUGGCGACCGGCGCACGGAUGAGUAACACGUAUGCAACCUACCUCUAACAGGGGGAUAACCCGUUGAAAGACGGACUAAUACCCCAUAAUACAGGGGCUCCGCAUGGAGAUAUUUGUUAAAGAUUUUAUCGGUUAGAGAUGGGCAUGCGUUCCAUUAGCUAGUUGGUGAGGUAACGGCUCACCAAGGCGACGAUGGAUAGGGGAACUGAGAGGUUUAUCCCCCACACUGGAACUGAGACACGGUCCAGACUCCUACGGGAGGCAGCAGUGAGGAAUAUUGGUCAAUGGAGGCAACUCUGAACCAGCCAAGUCGCGUAGAAGGAUGAAGGUCUUAUGGAUUGUAAACUUCUUUUGCAGGGGAAUAAAUAGCGGUACGUGUACCGUUUUGCAUGUACCCUGCGAAUAAGGAUCGGCUAACUCCGUGCCAGCCGCCGC
rnacentral:rRNA from 1 species